ACAAUAAUUUACAUUGGUAGGUUGCAGCUGCCGUGUAUGACAGACAACAGGUAGCUGAUCAUGCGCAAAAUCUUGCCACCAAAAUCCGAAAUAAUUUAACCAACUCUAUGAAAUCUCUUGGUGUGGACAUAUUGACAGGUUUUGGUAUUGUUGUGGGUCCACAGAAGGUGAAAUAUGGAAAAGUUGGGGGGAGUGAGACACUUAUUACUACAAAAGACAUAAUCAUAGGUACUGGAUCAGUACCAUUUGUCCCCAAGGGAGUUGAAGUUGAUGGUGAUUUUUGUAGAAGCAUUAGAUCAGUUGAUGCCUGGUUCGACCCUGAAAAUGG